rnacentral:rRNA from 1 species
UACGAAGGGUGCAAGCGUUAAUCGGAAUUACUGGGCGUAAAGGGUGCGUAGGCGGUUCGUUAAGUCUGUCGUGAAAUCCCCGGGCUCAACCUGGGAAUGGCGAUGGAUACUGGCGAGCUAGAGUGUGUCAGAGGAUGGUGGAAUUCCCGGUGUAGCGGUGAAAUGCGUAGAUAUCUGGAGGAACACCGGUGGCGAAGGCGGCAUCCUGGACCGGUAUUGACGCUGAUGCGCGAAAGCCAGGGGAGCAAACGGG